UGGGGAAUAUUGGACAAUGGGGGGAACCCUGAUCCAGCCAUGCCGCGUGUGUGAAGAAGGCCUUAUGGUUGUAAAGCACUUUAAGCGAGGAGGAGGGUACUGGUAUUAAUACUACCAGGUACUGGACGUUACUCGCAGAAUAAGCACCGGCUAACUCUGUGCCAGCAGCCGCGGUAAUACAGAGGGUGCGAGCGUUAAUCGGAUUUACUGGGCGUAAAGCGUGCGUAGGCGGCUAAUUGAGUCGGAUGUGAAAUCCCCGAGCUUAACUUGGGAAUUGCAUUCGAUACUGGUUAGCUAGAGUGUGGGAGAGGAUGGUAGAAUUCCAUGUGUAGCGGUGAAAUGCGUAGAGCUCUGGAGGAAUACCGAUGGCGAAGGCAGCCAUCUGGCCUAACACUGACGCUGAGGUACGAAAGCAUGGGGAGCAAACAGG
rnacentral:rRNA from 1 species